UUAUGUCCGGAAACUGAGUAAAAUUUUGGGAAAAUUUGUCUUUAAUUUGUACAUAGCUAGCGUCCAUAAAUGUAUCGGACUCAAGAUCUAUUACAGGACCCAUGUCUAAUUGAGCGAUUUCAUUCUCAGGCAACCGAGACAAAGCGUCGGGAACAAUGUGUUCUUUGCCUUUCCGAUGGGAGACGGAAAAUUUAAAUUGUUGCAGUCUAAAAACCCAUCGUGCCAGUCUACCCGAUAUAUUUUGCUGGCGCAUAAGCCAUAGCAAACUAGAAUGGUCGGUAACCACUUCAAAUUCCUGGAGUUCCAAAUAACAUCGGAACUUUUCGAUGGCUAAUAUGACUGCUAGGCAUUCACGCUCGGUAACACUAUAGUUUCGCUGCGCACGGCUUAAUUUUUUUGACAUGAAAGCUAUCGGUUGUUCUUCAUUAUCUUCAGACAUCUGUACUAAAACGGCGCCAAUGCCAAAAUCACUAGCGUCACAAUGUAAGAAAAAUUUCUUCUUAAAGUCAGCAUUUUUUAAAACCGGCGAGGAUGUUAGCACUGUUUUUAAGUUGUCCAUUGCGGUCUGUGCUUCAGGGGUCCACUCAAACUUUUUCUUUGUCGAUAAUACGUCCGUUAUGGGGCAAGUGAGAUCGGAAAAGUUGCAUAUAAACCGACGAUACCAACCGCAAACUCCUAGAAAUCCUCGAACUUGCUUCAAGUUUUUUGGCGGCGGCCAAUUUACAAUACAAGCUACUUUUUCCGGAUCUGUGCAAAUACCUCCGCUACCAAUCACGUAACCAAGAUAAUUGAUACUUGUUACACAGAAUUGACUUUUCGAAAUAUUUAAAGUCAAGUUGGCUUUUCUAAACUGCUCAGCGAUACGAACCAAUACCGCCAGAUGUGAACUGAAAUCCUCUGACACAAUACACAGGUCAUCUAAAUAACCAAAUACGCAAUAGCGCAGGUCAGAAGGAAUUAUCUCGUCCAUUAACCGACACAUGGUAGACGGCGCGUUACAAAGGCCAAAGGGCAUGACCUUAAACUGAUAUAGCGGUCUUCCGGGGACCGUAAAAGCAGUGAGAGGCUUUGAAUCCUCGGAAAGUUCUAUUUGCCAAUAGGCGUCUUUCAAAUCUAGUUUGGAAAUUAUAUUCGCCUUAGGUAGCCGCGAAAAAAUGCCAUCGAUGCUCGGCAGAGGAUAAGCAUCUUUUUUUGUGGCGUCAUUCAGUCUUCGAGCAUCCAGACAAAGGCGAACCUUGUUGGGCUUAAGGACGAGUCGCAUAGGCGAGCUCCAGGCGCUUACCGACGGCUCAAUAACUCCAAGCUGCAACAUGCGAUCAAUUUCUGCAUAUAACAACUUUUCUACGGCCGGACUUACAGGAUAGAAUCUUUGUUUCACUGGACGUGCGUCUCCUAUAUCUAUAUGGUGUUGGAUCAAUGUUGUGCGGCCUAAUCUAUCAGCAGCGUUGGGGAACAACUGCUUUACUACGUGCAGCUGUUGCGUUUGCUGGCUAUCUAAGGGAAUUUAUAAUGCUUGGCGCAAGCUCAAAGGCUCUCCAAAAAUCAUGACCCAAAAUUAGAUUUUGGUUUAUAGAAGGAAUCACAUACAGUUUCAAGGACUUGGUAGCCGAUUUAUACUGCAUUUUAACUUCAAGCACUCCGAUGACUUUCUGACUAUGGCCAUCUGCUGUUCUGACAUGCGAUUUAAUAGGCUUAAAUUCCGGCAUUGCGGUAAAAUCUUGUUGCGCAAGCGUAGAACCUAUACAGCUAAUAUUCGCGCCUGUAUCCAAUAGACCAAGCUCGGUAAAGGUUAAAAAUGACACUUCGGCAUAGCUGCGCAUAUCGGUGGGAUUGCAAAAAACUGUCGAAACUAAAAGCUUGCUAUGUUGCUUGAUUUUUGAAUAAUAAUUUUUCAAGCGCUGCGUACGCUGAGAAAUA